rnacentral:rRNA from 1 species
UAGGGAAUCUUCGGCAAUGGGGGGAACCCUGACCGAGCAACGCCGCGUGAGUGAAGAAGGUUUUCGGAUCGUAAAGCUCUGUUGUUAAGGAAGAACGAGUGUGAGAAUCGAAAGUUCAUGCUGUGACGGUACUUAACCAGAAAGGGACGGCUAACUACGUGCCAGCAGCCGCGGUAAUACGUAGGUCCCGAGCGUUGUCCGGAUUUAUUGGGCGUAAAGCGAGCGCAGGCGGUUAGAAAAGUCUGAAGUGAAAGGCAGUGGCUCAACCAUUGUAGGCUUUGGAAACUGUUUAACUUGAGUGCAGAAGGGGAGAGUGGAAUUCCAUGUGUAGCGGUGAAAUGCGUAGAUAUAUGGAGGAACACCGGUGGCGAAAGCGGCUCUCUGGUCUGUAGCUGACGCUGAGGCUCGAAAGCGUGGGGAGCGAACAGG